AAAUGACAUCAGCACUUGUGGGGAUGAGCCCUGGGUAUUAUGUGUAAGUGAUGAAUCACGAAAUUCUGCAUCAGAAACCAAUUUUACCAUAACUUCCUUAGAGAUUGACCCAGAUGUGUUCUACUUACCCGUUCACGGGACAGUGCUGAUCCAAGUUUGAGAACACAGCUCUGCAAAAUCGGAAGCUAUAAUUUACACGGCAAAUUUGACUCAGAUGGGACUCUUCAGAGGGCUGGGACCAUCAGCGUAUAUAUGGUGUCUAAUAUUUAACAAGUGGUAACCACUCAG